rnacentral:rRNA from 1 species
ACGCUGGCGGCACGCCUAACACAUGCAAGUCGAACGAAGUAGCAAUACUUAGUGGCAGACGGGUGAGUAACAUGUAGGUAUCUGCCCUUUGGCCUGGAAUAACACGAGGAAACUUGUGCUAAUACCGGAUAAGUCUUUACGGAGAAAGCUUUAUGCACCAUUGGAUGAGCCUGCACUUGAUUAGUUUGUUGGUGGGGUAAUGGCCUACCAAGACUGUGAUCAAUAGCUGAUUUGAGAGGAUGAUCAGCCGCAUUGGGACUGAGACACGGCCCAAACUCCUACGGGAGGCAGCAGUGGGGAAUCUUGCACAAUGGAGGAAACUCUGAUGCAGCGAUGCCGCGUGAGUGAAGAAGGCCUUUGGGUUGUAAAGCUCUUUCGUCGGGGAAGAAAAUGACUGUACCCGAAUAAGAAGGUCCGGCUAACUUCGUGCCAGCAGCCGCGGUAAUACGAAGGGACCUAGCGUAGUUCGGAAUUACUGGGCUUAAAGAGUUCGUAGGUGGUUGAAAAAGUUAGUGGUGAAAUCCCAGAGCUUAACUCUGGAACUGCCAUUAAAACUUUUCAGCUAGAGUAUGAUAGAGGAAAGCAGAAUUUCUAGUGUAGAGGUGAAAUUCGUAGAUAUUAGAAAGAAUACCAAUUUGCGAAGGCAGCUUUCUGGAUCAUUACUGACACUGAGGAACGAAAGCAUGGGUAGCGAAGAGGAUUAGAUACCCUCGUAGUCCAUGCCGUAAACGAUGUGUGUUAGACGUUGGAAAUUUAUUUUCAGUGUCGCAGCGAAAGCGAUAAACACACCGCCUGGGGAGUACGACCGCAAGGUUAAAACUCAAAUGAAUUGACGGGGACCCGCACAAGUAGUGGAGCAUGUGGUUUAAUUCGAAGAUACGCGCAGAACCUUACCGACACUUGACAUGUUCGUCGCGACUCUAAGAGAUUAGAGUUUUCGGUUCGGCCGGACGAAACACAGGUGCUGCAUGGCUGUCGUCAGCUCGUGUCGUGAGAUGUUGGGUUAAGUCCCGCAACGAGCGCAACCCUCACUUUUAGUUGCCAUCAUUAAGUUGGGCACUCUGAAAGAACUGCCAGUGAUAAGCUGGAGGAAGGUGGGGAUGACGUCAAGUCCUCAUGGCCCUUACGUGUUGGGCUACACACGUGCUACAAUGGUAUCUACAACAGGAAGCAAGACUGCGAAGUUAAGCAAAUCCCUAAAAGAUACCUCAGUUCGGAUUGCACUCUGCAACUCGAGUGCAUGAAGCUGGAAUUACUAGUAAUCGUGGAUCAGCGUGCCACGGUGAAUGCGUUCCCGGGUCUUGUACACACCGC